GAUGAACGCUGGCGGCGUGCUUAAUACAUGCAAGUCGAACGAAGCACCUUGGACAGAAUCCUUCGGGAGGAAGACCAUUGUGACUGAGUGGCGGACGGGUGAGUAACGCGUGGGUAACCUGCCUUGUACAGGGGGAUAACAGUUGGAAACGACUGCUAAUACCGCAUAAGCGCACAGUACCGCAUGGUACGGUGUGAAAAACUCCGGUGGUACAAGAUGGACCCGCGUCUGAUUAGCUGGUUGGUGAGGUAACGGCCCACCAAGGCGACGAUAAGUAGCCGACUUGGGAGAGUGAUCGGCCACAUUGGGACUGAGAAACGGCCCAAACUCCUACGGGAGGCAGCAGUAGGGAAUAUUGCAAAAUGGGGGGAACCCUGAUGCAGCGACGCCGCGUGAAGGAAGAAGUAUUUCGGUAUGUAAACUUCUAUCAGCAAGGAAGAAAAUGACGGUACUUGACUAAGAAGCCCCGGCUAAAUACGUGCCAGCCGCCGCGGUAACAC
rnacentral:rRNA from 1 species